rnacentral:rRNA from 1 species
UACGAAGGGGGCUAGCGUUGCUCGGAAUCACUGGGCGUAAAGCGCACGUAGGCGGAUUGCUAAGUCAGGGGUGAAAUCCUGGAGCUCAACUCCGGAACUGCCUUUGAUACUGGCGAUCUUGAGUCCGGGAGAGGUGAGUGGAACUCCGAGUGUAGAGGUGAAAUUCGUAGAUAUUCGGAAGAACACCAGUGGCGAAGGCGGCUCACUGGCCCGGUACUGACGCUGAUGUGCGAAAGCGUGGGAGCAAACAGG